UGAGACAAGUUGUUUGCAGAUCUUUUAGUGG
rnacentral:piRNA from 1 species